AUCACUUCUCAGCCUUUUGGCUAAGAUCAAGUGUAUUUCCUCCUUCCUAAUCCUUCUGCACUUAAUUGAUUAUUCUUCUGUCCUCACUGCACUAUUGUGGAAACCCAAUACAAUGUCUAGCAGAGCUAGGAAUAAUGGGAAGACUUCUCAUGUUUCUUCAUUUAGGCAUGUGCUGUAGUAUUUUUAU